AACGAACGCUGGCGGCAUGCCUAACACAUGCAAGUCGAACGAGAUCUUCGGGUCUAGUGGCGCACGGGUGCGUAACGCGUGGGAAUCUGCCCUUCGGUUCGGAAUAACAGUUGGAAACGACUGCUAAUACCGGAUGAUGACAAAAGUCCAAAGAUUUAUCGCCAGAGGAUGAGCCCGCGUAGGAUUAGCUAGUUGGUGUGGUAAAGGCGCACCAAGGCGACGAUCCUUAGCUGGUCUGAGAGGAUGAUCAGCCACACUGGGACUGAGACACGGCCCAGACUCCUACGGGAGGCAGCAGUGGGGAAUAUUGGACAAUGGGCGAAAGCCUGAUCCAGCAAUGCCGCGUGAGUGAUGAAGGCCUUAGGGUUGUAAAGCUCUUUUACCCGGGAUGAUAAUGACAGUACCGGGAGAAUAAGCUCCGGCUAACUCCGUGCCAGCCGCCGCGGUAA
rnacentral:rRNA from 1 species